AGAGUUUGAUCCUGGCUCAGGACGAACGCUGGCGGCGUGCUUAACACAUGCAAGUCGAACGGAGCACCCUUGACUGAGGUUUCGGCCAAAUGAUAGGAAUGCUUAGUGGCGGACUGGUGAGUAACGCGUGAGGAACCUGCCUUCCAGAGGGGGACAACAGUUGGAAACGACUGCUAAUACCGCAUGAUAUAUUUGAGGGGCAUCCCUUGGAUAUCAAAGAUUUAUCGCUGGAAGAUGGCCUCGCGUCUGAUUAGCUAGUAGGCGGGGUAACGGCCCACCUAGGCGACGAUCAGUAGCCGGACUGAGAGGUUGACCGGCCACAUUGGGACUGAGAUACGGCCCAGACUCCUACGGGAGGCAGCAGUGGGGAAUAUUGCACAAUGGGCGCAAGCCUGAUGCAGCCAUGCCGCGUGUAUGAAGAAGGCCUUCGGGUUGUAAAGUACUUUCAGCGGGGAGGAAGGGAGUAAAGUUAAUACCUUUGCUCAUUGACGUUACCCGCAGAAGAAGCACCGGCUAACUCCGUGCCAGCAGCCGCGGUAAUACGGAGGGUGCAAGCGUUGUCCGG
rnacentral:rRNA from 1 species